GGUGCUGACUAGAUGUCCUGGGUGUGAAAAGUUUGAUACUAUUGUAAUAUUCCUACUCUGCUUUAUCUAUAAUGCUAUCUUUUGAUAGAGCUUCGGCUCCUCUUUCUAUCAAAAAAAAAUGAUCAUAAGGUGGGAUGCUAUCCUCUUUUGCCUUAAGAUCAAUAUUUGAUUCCACUCAAAGAAUUCUAAUCUUGGAUACAAUGCAGUCCAAU
rnacentral:lncRNA from 1 species